rnacentral:rRNA from 1 species
AACGGACGCUGGCGGCAGGCCUAACACAUGCAAGUCGAACGCUCCGCAAGGGGAGUGGCGCACGGGUGAGUAACGCGUGGGAAUCUACCUAUUAGUAAGGAAUAACAGUUGGAAACGACUGCUAAUACCUUAUACGCCCUACGGGGGAAAGAUUUAUCGCUAAUAGAUGAGCCCGCGUAAGAUUAGCUAGUUGGUGAGGUAAUGGCUCACCAAGGCUACGAUCUUUAGCUGGUCUGAGAGGAUGAUCAGCCACACUGGAACUGAGACACGGUCCAGACUCCUACGGGAGGCAGCAGUGGGAAUAUUGGACAAUGGGCGAAAGCCUGAUCCAGCCAUGCCGCGUGAAUGAUGAAGGCCUUAGGGUUGUAAAGUUCUUUCGCCGCCGAGGAUAAUGACGGUAAGCGGAUAAGAAGCCCCGGCUAACUUCGUGCCAGCAGCCGCGGUAA